rnacentral:rRNA from 1 species
ACGAACGCUGGCGGCGUGCUUAACACAUGCAAGUCGAACGGAAAGGCCCUGCUUGCAGGGUACUCGAGUGGCGAACGGGUGAGUAACACGUGGGUGAUCUGCCCUGCACUUCGGGAUAAGCCUGGGAAACUGGGUCUAAUACCGGAUAGGAGCCAUUUUUAGUGUGAUGGUUGGAAAGUUUUUUCGGUGUAGGAUGAGCUCGCGGCCUAUCAGCUUGUUGGUGGGGUAAUGGCCUACCAAGGCGGCGACGGGUAGCCGGCCUGAGAGGGUGGACGGCCACAUUGGGACUGAGAUACGGCCCAGACUCCUACGGGAGGCAGCAGUGGGGAAUAUUGCACAAUGGGCGCAAGCCUGAUGCAGCGACGCCGCGUGGGGGAUGACGGCCUUCUGGUUGUAAACUCCUUUCGCUAGGGACGAAGCUUUUUGUGACGGUACCUAGAUAAGAAGCACCGGCUAACUACGUG